UACGGGGGGAGCAAGCGUUGUUCGGAUUUACUGGGCGUAAAGGCGCGUAGGCGGCCACCGCAAGUCGACUGUGAAAUCUCCGGGCUUAACCCGGAAAGGUCAGCCGAUACUGCGGGGCUAGAGUGCAGAAGGGGCAACUGGAAUUCUCGGUGUAGCGGUGAAAUGCGUAGAUAUCGAGAGGAACACCUGCGGCGAAGGCGGGUUGCUGGGCAUUACCUGACGCUGAGGAGCGAAAGUGUGGGGAGCGAACAGG
rnacentral:rRNA from 1 species